GAGCAGUGGGUGGGGAACCCGGACCUACAUGGAGGCGCCUCCCCAGGAUGGACAUGGCACCCACAUUGGCACCCUCUGGUUUUGUCCCCACAGGAGUCCUGCCUCCCAGCACCCCUCUGUCAUGGUGAUCAAGACGGCUAGGGGGCAGGGAAGGCAAGAAGAGGGAGAAGACUCUGCUGUGACUCAUAGCAAAGUGAGAGCUUCUUCCCUCCUCUCUGCACCCCAAAUACGGCUGCAUUAGAACUAAGCAAGCUAUUGAUACCACACUGACCUAAAAAUAGCAAAUGGCGAAGUCACUGGCCUACGAGGCUGGAGAAUCUUAACACCAGGUGGCCCAGGGCAUACCCAGAGCUUCUGGCAACCGAAAUCUGGAAAAAGUGGUAACAGUUCCAUCUGGUCAAAUGACAAAAGCCUAAAUUUGUAUCAAGUAGUGGCUGAUAACAGUCAAUUUCUACCUAGAAGGCACUACGUUGGAUCUAGGUGUUCAGGGUUCUUUAAGUCAUGCUCUGAAUGAAUAAGCAAUGAUUCCAAAGUAUGUGAAGCUAGCCUCACAGUUUGAAGUCCUUGAAAUCACAUUUUCCAAACAGCUUCAAAUGAAGAACAAGCUCAUACAAACUCAAGAGUGCUUGAUCGAUGAGCAACUCCAGCAAGUGAAGACAUCACAGUCUGGGGCAGUGCACGGCUGACCCCUUUACCUGUUGAACUAGCUGCUUUGGCCCUUGUUUCAAGGGAAAAGGGCUCUAGAGGAAUUGGGGGUUUGGUCCUCUUAAGGUCUGAGGUCUUUGGGUCUCUGGGUUUGGUCAGGCCCUUAGGGACUGUGGGCUUAGGCUGAGCAAGGGUAGCCUUGGGACAUGUCUCAAACUCUGGUGAAGUCAAGAAAGGCCACAGAGUGGAAAAUCCAGAAUCUACAUCCCAUUCGUGCCAGAGCCCUGUUCCAUCCACUCUCUGAGCAGAUGUCCCCCUACGAAGGCCCAAGGGACUCCUGAAAAGCAGGCAUGAAUAGACCACAGAGUUAAACAGUGCAAGGGCAUGCUGUGGACCCACCCACUUUGGGUAAAUCUUUUGACUUCUCUGUGAAUCAGAAAAUCAAUGGGAUAGACUAUGCCUCACAGGGCCACCCUAGGGAUCGAAUAAGAUGACGGAUACCAAAGUGCUUCAUUAACAAUAAAGUGCCAAAAAGAGUUACUACUA